rnacentral:rRNA from 1 species
UACAUGGGGUGCAAACGUUGCUCGGAAUCAUUGGGCGUAAAGCGCGCGUAGGCGGUUGCUUAAGUCGGAUGUGAAAGCCCUCGGCUUAACUGAGGAAGUGCAUCCGAAACUGAGCAGCUAGAGUACGAAAGAGGGUCGCGGAAUUCCGGUGUAGAGGUGAAAUUCGUAGAUAUCGGGAGGAACACCGGUGGCGAAGGCGGCGACCUGGGUCGAGACUGACGCUGAGGCGCGAAAGCGUGGGAGCAAACAGG